AGAAUCAACGCUGGCGGCGUGCCUAACACAUGCAAGUCGAACGAGAAAGUGGAGCAAUCCAUGAGUAAAGUGGCGCACGGGUGAGUAACACGUGACUAACCUACCCUUGAGUGGGGAAUAACCUCGGGAAACCGGGGCUAAUACCGCAUAACACCUACGGGUCAAAGGAGCAAUUCGCUUAAGGAGGGGGUCGCGGCAGAUUAGUUAGUUGGCGGGGUAAUGGCCCACCAAGACGGUGAUCUGUAUCCGGCCUGAGAGUGCGCACGGACACACUGGAACUGAAACACGGUCCAGACUCCUACGGGAGGCAGCAGUGGGGAAUUUGCGCAAUGGGGGGAACCCUGACGCAGCAACGCCGCGUGGAGGAUGAAGUCCCUUGGGACGUAAACUCCUUUCGAUCGGGACGAUUAGUGGACGGUACCGGAAGAAGAAGCCCCGGCUAACUUCGCGCCAGCAGCCGC
rnacentral:rRNA from 1 species